AGUUACUUCUUUGCUAGGUUGAGGAAAGGGUGGAAGCGCCUCCUGCAGCCACGAAUAUCCUCCAGUGCCUGAGAGAAAACGGCCUAAUCGAAAACGUCCGCGGCAUACAUCCAUUCUUAAAACUUGAGUGGCUGCUUUUCUGGGUGGAAAAGAGCGGUAUCAGACAGGGUGAGCAGUCGGGGAACGGAUGAACAAAGACUUGCACCGUGGCCCUGA
rnacentral:lncRNA from 1 species